GGCUGAAUUCAUUUUCCACAACAGAUGGCCUCAUAGAUAAUGAUGAUGGAAGAGAGAAAAUUGAAUGUCUCUCACAAGGUGGCCAUGGCAACCGAGAGCAGAAUAAUAUCAAUAAUAAGCUCACUGCAUAAUAAGGUUGUCAGUCCUACAAAUCAAAGUCUGCAGCUAAAUCAGGUAUACCACCCCAGCCAGUUACCAGUAGCAGAAAUGGUUUCAUGAAGCACAGGCUAACUAGCCAUAUUGAACUGCGGAGUGAGCCUGAGGAUGAGCUCCCCUCCCCAAGCCUCCUCCUCACUCUCCCCUCUCUGUGCCCUGCUGCAUCCUGCCUAGAUGCAAGAGCAGCUCACCCGCCGGAGGCUUCCACCUUGGCUCCCAGGGGGACAUCCUGCAAAAUGAAUCAGCAGCCAUCCUGAGCAGGCUGAUUAAAAUGAAAAUGGCAAGGCACAUGUCUGGGCGGAACUGGAGCUCGGCUUUGUUGCCUGUCUGACAAGCACGCUCAAUAUAGCUCUUGCUAAUAAUGGCUUACUGCCUUUCGGUUUUUAAAAAGGUAUCACCCUUUCCCCUUAUCCGACUGCGACUCGUGUGUGUGUGUGUGUGUGUGUGUGUGUGUGUGUGUGUGUGUGUGUGUGUGUUCGCGCGCGCGCGCGCGUGCUCACAUGUGUGUGCCACGGGGGUUGUGGGGGGACGGAUUGCUCGAUUCUAAUUUUCCACUGCUCACAUGCAGACAGCCCGCCUGACAACGCUGUUAUUUUAAAACUGAACUCAGUUGUCUUUCUUCUGAGGAAAGUGAUGGUUAAGUCUCGGAUGUGAUGUGGAGGUUGUCUAAAAACCAAGACCAGAAACGGAUUUCUAGCCCAAGCCUUAGCCACAGAGCUGGGGGGAGGGGGUCAUCUAGUGCUUGCCUCUCUGGCUCUCAGCCCAGUGCUAGAAGCAGCCCAGGUGGAGCCUGCUCCUGCUUGAGGCUUUUCUCCCAGACUGUCUCUGCUCUCUGGGUCUCAUGCAACAUACAGGCUGAACGUGGAAAAUAGAAGCCACUGAUUGUUGAAAUUGGACAAAGUUUAUUACAAAUAAAUCUCAUUUCUUUUCAAAAUUU